rnacentral:misc_RNA from 1 species
UGACCAAUCCCGCAAGGGGUCUUGGGGUCCGCGGUUCGCUGCGGCCCUUAAAAUCAGUGGCGGCGCCGCCGGUGCUCUCAGCGUAGUAAUAUUUCCUCGCUCGGGAACCACGGUGGAUGCUCGCCAGCAACCCCCAAUUUUCAAA